rnacentral:lncRNA from 1 species
AUGAUUCACAGAAAAAGGGGGGUUCUCCAACUCCAGCCAUCCUAUGACUAUGACUAUGAUUCUUACCAUCUAACCAAGGAACAACUUGGGACCCUGACACUGCAUUUAAUUCCUUGUUGGAAGACCCUUACCAAAAGCUGGGUGUGGGGACAGGUCUCCAAGCAGGGAAAAUGUCUUUGGCAGAGUCAGUCCUCUACUGAUGGCAGGAAAACAGCUCAGCUGAGGACUCACCAGAUGCAGAGUGACCAACAGCAUGCCAGCUUGUAUUGGGUGCAUGCACAGAGCACUACACCAUCAGGACUUCCCACCCCAGGCUGGGCCACUGUUCAGAGGUCAUGUUGCACUAUCAUCAGUGAAGUCUUCUUGCUUUCCCUUGCCAACUGGCAAUCAUGCUUCUAUUGCCCAACCCGCCUUGCCUUGCAUCAUCUGAGCUUCUGCUUUAUCUGUGUUAGUCUCCUCAUUGGGUGGUCCAGUGCUGGCUGCUGCAAGUUGCAGGCUGUGCAGGAGGCAUCUCAUUUGAAGAGACUAUGGAAGAAGCACAGGGAGGCACAGAGGGGAGCAGGGAUUUCAGUGCUCCUUGGCAGGAGCUCAAGCCACAUACCCAAUAGCCAUGAAAAUGGGCAGAAAGUUAUGGUGAUCACCGGGCGGAUGAAGACGGGCUCCAAGGAAGUGUAGGAGAAGAAAUGGAAAGGAUGUGAGGUCACUUUAAAUAUUUACUUGAAAUGGAGCCCUUGAUUUGAGCUUGUCUGAUGUCUGUGGCAGUUUUCCUGGAGACUAAUUCCAAAAUUACACCAUAAAAACUGUAUAAAAUCCAUAACCAUAAGCACACUUGUGUUUAUGCCAGUUUACAAGAGCACUUGCUUAUGCUCAAGCCAGCAGCAAUCCCAUUCAGGAGGUUUAUUUUGUAGAAUAAGGGUAAAAUNCCCAACUUUAUGGAGUUAGAGGGACAGAAACCUCUUUAUAAUCUAUAGAAGCAAAAAGGAAAAGCCUAUUUCUGGUAAACGCCAUUUACUGAAAUGAAAAUGUCACCCUGCCCGUGAUUCUGCCCACUGCUUUUUGUUAUUUGACAUGGAAUGGGUUUGUAUAGGAACAUCACAGACAUCACACAAAGGACAGAGAAUAAAAGUAGAUGGUGUACGUCGUGGCUUGAGAUC